UCUUCUCAAAGCAGGUCAACGAAUAAACACUCUUUUUUUUUUGUAAUGGUGCAAAUGUUCACAAUCACGUUCUUUAUUUUCAGGUGGAGAAGCUUAAGUACAACAUUGACUCAUACGUGGAAAGCGGUCUCGUGUGCCCUCGGUCACGGAAAGAGUUUCAGACAUUUCUGCUAUCAUUGAGCAGCAAAGAGUUCCUGUUCACGGCUACCGGAUUUUUCGACUUGAAGCUGUCCCUUUUGUCGAAGCUUGCCGGCGCCGUGUUUAUACACACUACCAUCCUCAUCCAGAUGAUGCGCCUUGGUCGUGGCUGUGUUGGGACCGAGGUCCCUUCUGCAAAACAAGGCGAAGACGAAAUGGGCGAGCACGGGAGGAAUUACAUUGCAUCAUACUUCUACUAGAAAUUAUGUUUCUGCUGUAAAGCUGCAUGGAUAAACAAAAGCCGCCAUGUAAGAAAAUGCACGUACCUAAACAGAGUAACGCAUUGGUGGGAACGCGAAUAUGCCUACAUUCGUAACUCGCAUACUUGUCUCCCAAACGGGCGUUAAGAAACUGAGAAACGCUUUCAGAGAUCCGUAGUUGGGCAAAACUCGUAAUGCGUAUAGUGCGUUCGCUUCGCUUCGUCGUUUCCGUGUCCGCGCAUGCGCUAUCGAUAGCGGGACAGCUCGGCGGCGGAGUGAAUGGGCCGCUGGUGACCGUAGAAAUGCUAUCGCACUAAAAUGGCGCCACUUUCGCAAAAUGGUGCGCAGAAGCUUAAAAGAUGUAUAAUUGGUACGGUAAUAAAAUAUAUUACUACUCACUCACGAGGAAACAUCAGAAUGUCGUCUUUGUCCGUAUAAUUAUAUUCCUUGCUGUUCUUUCGAAAGCGCAUGCUUUGAUGCAACCAUCCUCCGAGCCAUCCUCACCAUUGGCGAACUGAACUGUGUGAAAUGAUCUAUAGUCGGCGACGGCCUCAAAAUGACAAACGAGUUCCACCUUCACAGUCCGCCUGUCCUCUACCUCUGGAAGAUAGCCGAGCGAGCUGGAGUCUGCUCUCCCAGCUUAAUGACCUUACUCUGCUAAUGGAAACAAUAGGCUUAUUGGAAAAUAAAGGCCAGUUGUUUCAAGCUAAAACGUUGCAGGUGGAUGAGAAGUGAUAUCAGAAUCGCUAAUGAAAUUCGCCCUAUAGACAUUUAGAUUUCAUUCUGAAACUGGUGCGACAAAGACCAGUCUUUACGGGGUGGAAGGGGGUUGUUAAAUAUGUAACACCGCUUGAAUGAACAUCAGAAUCACAAACAAAAUACGCCCUAGACAUUUAGAUUUUAUCCUGAAACCAGUGCUACCAAAGUGCUACCAGUCUGAACGGAGAAAACACUUGUUUUAAACAUGCAAAACCGCUUGAGCAAAUACGCAAAUCUGUUCGGCUGGCGCCACCACUGCACAAAUAUGGACAGUGGUGCUUUCACCUGAUUCCUGAUUUACCGUAACAAGUGAAGGAUUUUCAUUGGCAACCAGUGAGUCAUUUUACCUGCAAUAGACACACUUGAACGCUGAGAAGUGGUACUGAAUGAUGAAUGCGUGCUGUCAUGAGUCACGGGCAAGACCUGUAUGACAAUGUGCAAAAGACGAAGACGCCGGUCGACGAAACGGAGAAGGGACCCGCAGGCGUGAAGCACGUGAAACGCUACAGAAAAGAAGAAAUUCAGAAAAAGGAGAAGCAGGCGGAGAUGAGCUGGCACUGCCGACGUGGUCGAGAACCAAGACAGUGGCACCUCCAGCCGUGCUCUCGAGACGGGAGGCAGCAGCUUCGGGUACCACGGACCAGAGAGGGGACGUUCGUCAGUUGGCCAGCGACAACUCCAGCUCCUGAGCCUCGACUACGUCGGCGUGGCUGUGUUCCACGGCCCCGGUCCAACCUCACGCUGCCGUAACCGGUUGCUGUCCCGUGCCACGAAGACAAUCGCCUGGCCACGCAAGCGGCACAACGGUCGACGGGCCCAGACCGCGUCCUGUGUCACGCGGGUCUCUGCGGAAGACCACAACCUCAUCGCUGCCGUCGGAGGUCGACGCCCACGCUGCGUCGGAACCACGCAGGCCAACGUCCUUUGCCACGCUGGGCCGGAGUCCGACACUACUGGCGACGUUCGGAACGUUCGUUUGCUCGUGACGUAGCGUUGGUUAGUCGAGCGGAGGAACAAUACGUAGUUUAGGGCUUGUUUUUUUUAUGUGUAUAGUUAGUUUUUGGAGUGUCUCGCGUGUGUAUAGUGUUUAUAGUGUGUCAUGGUAGUUUGCCGUUUGUUUAACAUAUUUGAAUUGUGUCUCUGUCCAUUUCUGGAGCGCUGAAAUUCGUGACGCAUGCACUGUCCACAAAAAGAGAGCAACGCGCAUGUAGUAAAGGAGUGCGUUGUAACACGCACCUUCCGGAAGUUGGUUGCAAGAAUGUUUGGGGUAUCCAUCGCGCGGCCACCCGGCCGGCGAGAUUAGUUUGCAAGUCUCGUCUACUGCAGCGCUAACUACGUUUUGUGGUGCUUCCGCAACGUUGUAGAACGAUCUCGACAAUCAAACAAAGCAAUGUGCCCCAGACUGCAGAAUCUACGGGUGAUAGUACGGGGUCAUCUAGAAGAACACGGCGAAGCCGAGUUGCUUCGGCGCUGGUCUACGCGGUUCUUAACCGUCUCUCGGGGCAAAGUUUUCCUACAGCCAGUAUGAUGCCCAAAUUCUGUUUUUCAGAGUGAGACUCUGUACCUGUGUGUGCCCUGGGUAUCAAUAUUUUCAAGGCUUACAAUAAUGCCUUUGCAUAUACAUUGUAGCGUCUUUGAAGUGGAAGUGGCAUAAUCAGUGUCAAACAGACACCAUUUGCUGUUUUGUUUGCUCCCUCGUUUUGUUUAUCUCAAGUGCGAUUUAUUGCAGCUUCGCGAUAUGUUAUACUGUACUCAGUGUUCAUACCAUAGUUGUACGCGUGCCUACGGGUGAAUAAAUUUUCUUGU